CAUUUACUCCUACGGGAGGCAGCAGUGGGGAAUAUUGCACAAUGGGCGGAAGCCUGAUGCAGCGACCCCGCGUGAGGGAUGACGGCCUUCGGGUUGUAAACCUCUUUCAGUAGGGAAGAAGCGAAAGUGACGGUACCUGCAGAAGAAGCGCCGGCUAACUACGUGCCAGCAGCCGCGGUAAUACGGGGGGCGCAAGCGUUAUCCGGAAUUAUUGGGCGUAAAGAGCUCGUAGGCGGUUUGUCGCGUAUGCCGUGAAAGUCCGGGGCUCAACUCCGGAUCUGCGGUGGGUACGGGCAGACUAGAGUGAUGUAGGGGAGACUGGAAUUCCUGGUGUAGCGGUGAAAUGCGCAGAUAUCAGGAGGAACACCGAUGGCGAAGGCAGGUCUCUGGGCAUUAACUGACGCUGAGGAGCGAAAGCAUGGGGAGCGAACAGGAUUAGAUACCCUGGUAGUCCAUGCCGUAAACGUUGGGCACUAGGUGUGGGGGAGGGUCCACGUUUUCCGCGCCGUAGCUAACGCAUUAAGUGCCCCGCCUGGGGAGUACGGCCGCAAGGCUAAAACUCAAAGGGAUUGACGGGGGCCCGCACAAGCGGCGGAGCAUGCGGAAAGGUCGAUGCAACGCGAAGAACCUUACCAAGGCUUGACAUGAACCGGUAAGACCCUGAAACAU
rnacentral:rRNA from 1 species